UUCGGUAGUCGUUGCCACUGAUAAUCGAAAGGAGGUUGUCCAACAACGAUGUUACAUACAUUGCUACCAUUAGGCGGCUAACAAACAUGUUAGAGCAAGUCCAAUGCGUCUCUCAUAAUUGUAAGGUAGAAGAAAUAUCCCCUAAACUCUGACAAAUAACAAAAAAAUUGAGACUCUCUCUCCUCGUGAACGUCUUCGCGCGUACACCUACACAGAGAAGAGAAUACAAGCGCGCGAGUCGAUCGCUUCCAUGCUCCGAUGAUCUCUCUCACAGAAUCAAGGUUAAUCGUGUGGCCAACAAUCAGGGCCGCCGACCCACUGAACUGAAUAGUCGAAGCGCCAUGACUCACCCCUAGUCAUCAUUUGCUGCCAACAACUGUCUACUUCAUUGGAAUCUCAGUUUGAAGCCACGGUUAAAAAAAACUUUUGGAGCCCAAUCCAAUCACCCCUCCGCGAACGACCAACACCAUUGAACUUGCCUUGUUGAGCUUUACAAGUUUUAGUCCUUGGAUGGCCGAAAUAAUUAUUCCAUUGAUUUGGCUUGUCAUUCCAUUAAUCGGGUAUUUCUAGUUAGCAGGUGUUUCCUUCAUAGAUCAUUGUCAACCUAAUGUUUGUGCUUGUUUCAGCUCUAUGAGCUUUCUCGAGUGAUGAUAGACAAUGAAAUAAAUUGCCUAUUUGAUCUUGUUGCUUGUUUUGUUCUAAUACGUAUGUAAUUUAUGUUUAAUAUUUUUUAUCUGUCACAAACUUAAAAAGAGAUAUCUGAUUACAUA